rnacentral:rRNA from 1 species
GAUGAACGCUGGCGGCGUGCCUAAUACAUGCAAGUCGAGCGAACGGACGAGAAGCUUGCUUUUCUGAUGUUAGCGGCGGACGGGUGAGUAACACGUGGAUCACCUACCUAUAAGACUGGGAUAACUUCGUGAAACCGGAGCUAAUACCGGAUAAUAUUUUGAACCGCAUGGUUCAAAAGUGAAAGACGGUCUUGCUGUCACUUAUAGAUGGAUCCGCGCUGCAUUAGCUAGUUGGUAAGGUAACGGCUUACCAAGGCAACGAUGCAUAGCCGACCUGAGAGGGUGAUCAGCCACACUGGAACUGAGACACGGUCCAGACUCCUACGGGAGGCAGCAGUAGGGAAUCUUCCGCAAUGGGCGAAAGCCUGACGGAGCAACGCCGCGUGAGUGAUGAAGGUCUUCGGAUCGUAAAGCUCUGUUAUUAGGGAAGAACAUAUGUGGAAGUAACUGUGCACAUCUUGACGGUACCUAAUCAGAAAGCAACGGCUAACUACGUG